UACGUAGGGUGCGAGCGUUAAUCGGAAUUACUGGGCGUAAAGCGUGCGCAGGCGGUGCUGUAAGACAGGCGUGAAAUCCCCGGGCUUAACCUGGGAAUGGCGCUUGUGACUGCAAAGCUGGAGUGCGGCAGAGGGGGAUGGAAUUCCGCGUGUAGCAGUGAAAUGCGUAGAUAUGCGGAGGAACACCGAUGGCGAAGGCAAUCCCCUGGGCCUGCACUGACGCUCAUGCACGAAAGCGUGGGGAGCAAACAGG
rnacentral:rRNA from 1 species